UCAGUUUUCGCUAGCUAUUCAGUCGUGCUGCUGCUCAUUUCGCACCUCUUAGUAGUAAAAAAAUGUAGUUAAAUAUCACAAAAAGUAGUUUUUUAGUAGCGCAAAGUUCUGGUGAAAAAUAUGUUAAUUUUGUACGCGGAAUGUGCGAGUAACGGUACGUGACAGUGUGCACAAGAAAAUAGGAAUAAUGUUUUAUUGAUAUUUGGCACAAAGUAUUUGUUUAUUUGUUAUUUUGCAUUGGCUUAAUUUUUUUUAUUGUAAACCAUGGAUGAAGAUACAGAACAAUCUCCUCCAAAAGUCCCAGAUUCGCCCAAACCGCUAGCUUUUACGAUAGAUUUUGGUAACACUAAAAACGUUGAUACUCAAAGGCAGAAGGCUUUAGCAGAAAAGUUUCAAAAACGGCACAAAAGGGGACAAUCGCUGUCUAAACUGGAAGACUCCCCUACAGUAACACAUCCCAAGCAACAUCCUCUAACAGGAAAUCUCCCAAGAAAGUUUAGUUUUCAAUCUGAAGGGUAUUUUUCUUCAGAUGAAAAACCAGAUAGAGUCAAAAGUGCUAAUGCCCGCAUUGGUACCUCAAGUGCCAAACGCAGUGACUUAACUCUUUUAUUAAAAAAUGUUACUACAGACAGAUUAAAUCACACAGUUUCAAAUGCUGCAGACAGGAUGACUCAGUCUUUUCCAACCUCAGCUCUUUCAUCCAUUUUGAGCCCGGAAAUUGAACUGAAAGACGUUUCUAGUCCAGAAUUAGACCUCAUUAGCCCUUUUAGUCCCAAAGAACAAUCUAGUAGUCAAGAAAGCUCCAACUCUGGUAAGAAAAUUCAAUUUUUAAGUCCUGAAUGCGAAAAGCUUUAUAUUGGUGAAAAUAGUGAGCAAGAAAUGUUUGUUGACAGUUCUGAAUAUGAUUUCGAUAAGUCUGAUACUGCGAGUGAUGCAGGAACAUAUACCCUAGAUGCUGACAAUUACUCAGAGGAACAAAAAGCAAGAAUGAGCAUCGAUAGAGAAUUUAAAAUUGAACAAAUUUCAGUCCAAAAGAAAACUGAAGAGUAUGUGAGAAGCUUAGCUACGAUGAGAGAUAAUGUUCUGCAAAACGCUGCACUAAUAAAUCAAAGGAAUUUUAAAGAAAAUGAAGUUCUCAGAGGUAUGCACAGUAUGAACAUAAACUUGAACAAUAUUCCCAAAUCACCGAAGUCACCUACUGUGAAAAAAAUGCCCGCAGCUACACCUACACAAGCUCAUAGUAUAUUGUCUCCGAUCAUGUCUCCAACACAGAACAUAUCUAUUACAGAUGUGCAGCACAUUGACGAACCCCUCAAUAACAGUGACUGUGAUUUAAAUAAUACUUUUACGAAAAUUAUGUUUCCUAGUCCUAAUGCCAAAAGAGAUGGAUUAAAACAAAGUUACGAUCAGGGCUCAGUGAUAUCGGUAACUUCAAGUGGAGCGUUUAAACCGAAAGUUGAGAAGAAACCAGAUAAACUGGCGAGUCUUACGAAGUCUGAGGUGCAAGUUCAAGCCUACAUAGACGACAAAAAUUAUGCCGAUGUGUUCACAGAGCCACCAGCUAAAAAGGACAACAAGAAAGUUGUUCCCAAGUUGACAGCUACUAUCGUUAAUGUGCAAAGUAUAGAUGUACAAAGUUCUGUUGAUUCUAGUGGUGUUUUAAGUGCAAAUAUCGUUGUCACUCCUAAAAGCGUUAAUAAUCUACCACCUACUGUGGGAGGAUAUUCAGCCAAAGUAGCUUCGUCCAAGAUACCUUCACCAACACAUAUGGUGUCUCGUCCACGCAGCCGAAACAGUGUAAGUUCGUUAAAUAUAGAAUUUUCUGACAGUUCUCUAGAUACUGAUUCCAUUUUAAAACCUACUCAAAACUAUAUCAAUUCUCUGCAACAGAGGUUGUCGUUAGAUAGUGAUCCUGAUAGCGAUUAUGAUGUUCGUGUUCAAUUAAAUAAUACUGCACAUUUGUUAAAACAGAAAGCUUCACAUACUAGACACAAUUCUUUAGACGACAGAACUAUGAAUAAUUCGAACAAAUUAGAACACUUCCAGAACAAAAACCUACUGGGUAUUGAUCAAACUUACUCAAAUUUGUUAAAUCAAUAUUCUCAGAAUAAGGUGAUGCACAAAAUACAUAACUCCCCAAACAAUUCACCAAUCAGACGAUCCAGCAGUUUUUCCACCAAAAAUCAAAUUCUUUCAUCCAAAAAUACUAAUGUUAAUGUAGUUCAGAAAGAGUCUAAUAUCCGUAAUUCUCCAAAUGUUAGUCGAAACACCACUAUACAGAGGAGUUCCUCCACAGCAUGCAUAAAGCCAAAUUAUAUUUUAAAUCGAAGGGGAAGUACGGAACAUCAAAAGAUUGACAGGAGUCAAUUUGGUGAUACAGAGUCGAGUAGUGAGGAAGACUUUGAAAAGAAUAAUCAGAAACGUAAAGACUUAUCUAGUAUAACAAACACUAGGUGCAAUAGAGCUUUUAGUUUAAGAAGAGCACGAGCAGACAACGAACCAAGCCCUCUGAAAUGUCCAAAUACUCCAGAAAUGAGGCGAAAGAUCUUCCAGCCUGAGUUAAAACACGAACGAGCAAUUUCUGUUGAUAGAAAACCGAUGAAAACUAACGAAGUGCAGAGUCGAUAUUUAUUAAAUAUAACUAAGAAACCCCCCGCGCCAGUGACUCCCAAGGAUGUGAAAAUUGUGCCAAAAGUUCAAAAUGCGACUAACAAGUCUACGCCUGCUAGGCCGCAAAGUUUCGCCAGGACAGAUAGUGGUAGAUUUAGUAUGCGAACGAGUAAACCGCCCAUUACGAAUAGUGCUUCGAAAGGACUUAAGAAAGAUGGAAGUGGAAAGAAACAAGGUGGAAUUCGCAGCAACUCUUCCCUCUCCAGUCGAGAAGUAGAAUUCCAGAAUUGGAAGAGGCGAAAGAGCUACGAUCCGAUGAAGGCGGCUGCGGAAGGAAAGAAAAAGGAGCAGGCUAAAAGACAGAGCCUCGGGAUUGGUCAGAAUUCCAUGACGCAAUCGUACACCGAGGCCAACCACAGUCAGGACAGUUCACCAUCACAUUCUAGCUCGGUUCACAGAUCACAGAGCUUUCACGGUACAGCUGCCCUCGAGCAACUGAUCAGUUCGGAGGAAGAAGAAGAAGAAGACUUGACCUUGUCAGCCGACGAAGGCUUUAGUCCGCCUACGCCCAGCCCCUGCGAGUUAAGCCCUGCUAGAGCUUCCUUGAGGCAUACCCUAUGGGAACGAAUACGACAUUAAAGCCCAUGACCAUGUUGUUUAUGUUACGAUUGCGAUUUUUCGGUAAAAAUGAUAUUCCGCGAGCCAUAUAUAAACUUUUAAAUACAUCUUUGUUCACUUAUCGCAAAUGUCUUUCAUCUAUAGUGCAAUAAACAUCGAUUUCUUUGUUUUACGAAAGUGUGAGCAAAUCUCUCAUUUAGUCCGACUUGUUGUAAGUGUAGAUGGAACAGUAAGACCUUGGUGUGAGAGCGUUGAAUUAUGUGGAGAUCUUUUAAAGGAUUAGUUUCAGGAUUAUGAAGCUUAAGCUGCUGUAAGUCAAUAACUUUACAUAUUGUAGUCAUUUCUAAUGUUCUAAUCAAGAGUGAUGCCCAGAUAAUAAUACUUUUUCUAUGUGUGAGCAAAUCUCUCACCUAGUCCGACUAGUUGUCAGUGUAGGUGGUAAGACAGUGUGGACAGUAAGACCUUGGUGUACAAACGUUAAAUUAUGUGAAGUUCUUUUACAGGACUAGUUUCAGGAUUAUGCAGCUUAAGAUGCUGUAAGUCAAUAACUUUACAUAUUGUUGUCAUUUUUAAUGUUCUAAUCAAGAGUGAUGCCCAGAUAAUAAUACUUUUUCUGUGUGUGAGCAAAUCUCUCACCUACUCCGACUCGUUGUCAGUGUAGGUGGUAAGACAGUGUGGGCAGUGAGACCUUAAUGUAGAAACGUUGAAUUAUGUGAAGUUCUUUUGAAGGAUUAGUUUCACGCUUUCAGCAUUAAAGCUUAAGCUGCUGUAAGUCAAUAACUUUACAUAUUGUGUGUCAUUUUUGAUGUUCUAAUCAAGAAUGACGUCCAGAUAAUAUCCUUUUACACAAUAUUUUAAGUACAUAAAAUACCGUUUGAGGGAUUAGUAGUUUUAAAAAUUCUCGUUAGUUUGAAGGAAUCAAAUUCCUCGAUACACAGUGCUUAAAAAAAUUUAAAUAUAAAAAAAUCGCGAAUAUCAUUUUUACCUAUUGUUACCUUGUUCCAAAAGGUUUAUUUAAUGAAUAAGUUUAUGUAAUUUAUUUUUAUGUGCAUAGGUGAUGUCUAUUUGAAAACCAUUUAAUGGUAAUAAUUGUGGUUUUCCCUGUAAAUACAUUUUGUUUUCAAAGUUAUCUUAGCAUGCAGUAUUUCAGGUAUUUAAAUACUUGUGCAUCAAAUACAAUUUGUUGUUUAGGUCAUUUAAAUAAAAUAUACAAUUUUAAAAUUUGCUUUUUGAUACUAACGAACUUGUAACGACUAAUAAUUGUGCAAUACUCUGAAAAACUGCUCGAGAUAGUCUUCAAAAUGCCCUUAAAGUUCAAUAUAAUCCUGGUUGUCUCAUUAAACUCAUGACCAUCUUUCCUAAGGUCUGAAAAGUUGAAAAUUGUCGGGCUAUAGUCAAAGAGUUAAACAAAUUUCUGAUGUAGUGACGUAGAAGAAGAAAUUAAACUUUUAAUGAAAGUAUAUAUAGUAAUUUUUUAAAAAUUUAUUGCAAGUGAUAUUUAUAUUUGGUAUACAGAAUGGUAACUGAUUAUUAUUAUGAAAUAAAUAUAGUAAUUUCACAUGAUGAUGGAAUUUGUUCUUUUCUGUAAUAUCAAAAGUAAGUAUAUUUAAAGAAAAGCAAAUCAGGACCAUGAUAAAUUAAGAAGAAACAUACGUGGGUUAGGUGACGUUAGUUAGUUAAGUUCAGGUGAAAUAAAUGGGUGGUUAAAUAUGAGACCACUUGUACUUCCAUGCAUAUACGCAGCAAAGUGUGGUUGUAUAUUAUAAAAUCAUUAUUCGUUUGUAAAACGAACUGAAGAUCUGUAAAAGAUCUGUAAUUGCGGGUGGUAACCAUAGCGACCAGUUAAAAGUAAAGUCCUAUGAACUACAUAAAUUCGUAUCACAUAGGUCUCAGCUACUUAUUAGAUAUCUACAUAUUUAAAUGUAGUGAAAUAUCCCUUCAGAAAUUAUAUCUGUCUAUGAAAUAUUGUUUAUAAUUCCAACCACAAUGUUUAAUCAUUCUGUAUCCGAUUUAAAUACCUUAGUUGCUAAAGCUGUAUUAUACACUGCUUAAUAAACUACAUGUACUAUACCAUUUUCUGUGAUAAUAUCCAACAAUGAUUUACUUCUAAAAAACUAUAUAAAACUUUGUGCCAAAUAAUAUAUAGAGAGUUUUCUUUGAGAAAGUUUUUAAAAAAUAUUAUAAAAUUGAUCUUAUAUUGGUGUACAGUGUGAACAUAGUACUAAAAAAGAAAUUUUUUAUUCAAAGGUUUAUCAACUGAUAUAAAUAAGAGCAUACUCCAAAAAUUUUAUAGAAUUCCAAUAGUUUACUUCUAUAUAGUGUACAUAAUUGCGGACUCCACAGACCAGUCAAAUAGUGACUAUAUAAGGUAUAUAAACUUAGCAGACAUGGAUAUCUAUCGGACGGCAACUCUUGUGAGUCGCCUUGGUUCUUCGAAUAUAAGAAAUAAGUCUUCGUAAAGACAAUGGUGCCAACUUUACAUAGCCACAAGGCAUUUACUCAACUCACUACACAAACAUAUCGAUAAGUUCUGGUGCAGAAAGACUGCUACAGUGCAAUCAUGUAGCAAUCUCAUGUGAGAUUUGAAGAGUAGGUAAUAUUACAAGAAUUUGUUUACAUUUGUUAAUUUCACACUGUAUACUCAAUAUUUGGAGUAUUCCUUGCGGUAUACUCCAGUGUUCUAAGUUUUUUCAUCGUGUUAAAAUGCACUUAAAGUUUCGUGUCAAACGCCAACGAUUAUAUUGAACUUUACAGGUUUAGCCACCUACAAUACGUUUAGUUUUCGAUUAGAUAUAGGCGACUGAAAAAAGCGCUAAAAUCGGCAACAUUGCUUAUAACACACUAUCGUUAUGGCGAAUGGCGGAAGACAGAGCGACGGAGUUAGAAUCGGAGAGAAUCAGGUGUAUUAGCGCGGGAAGGGAGACCGUCUGGUACUCGAUGGCGCUCAGUGUUGCCACUUAUGGUAUGUAUACCUAAUUUAAAACUAAACAUGCUGUAUUUUAGUAUAACAUUGUAACUUUAACAUGACAAUUUGAUUUUAUCAACAUUGUUUGCUGUGAUAUUCGUUCUAUUUAUGAUUAUUUAACUAAUAGUAGGAAAUAAGAAGUAGUCCACAACGAACCGUAUAUGAAAGACAGUUUUAGAUAGAUGUUUUCGAUAAUAGUUGAUAUUUCAUAAAUCAGAAGGAAAGGAAUUGAUUGAUUUUUAAUGGAAUAUAAUAACUUGACUUUCCAGACCUACAGUUUUAUUUACAAUUCAUCUUUUUAAUAUUUUAAUAGUAAACAUAUUAUUAGCAAUUUGCCAAUUUUGUCUUCACCUAAAAUAAUGAAGAUCCUAUUAUCAUACUAAAAUCACUGUAGUAGAAGUAAUCCUGUUUGUUGAUAAUGGAGCAUAGUAUAGUAUAUCCUGAUAGCUCACCAAGAAAGAGGAUCAAAUUAGUCAAAAAUAGACUAGAAUUAUUUAUUGGUGAUAGAUAAACAGUUGCCAUUUUUAAAAAAUCGCCACCUUCAGUCCUAAAAUACAUUGAAAAAGCUAGUAUAACUAUUUUUCUCCUUUUCUGUCCAAAAAAGAUAGAAAAGAGAGUAUUUGUCUUCAUGUUUUAUCUUAUUAUGUAAUAUUUGUAACUGAACUUGCAAGUAUUUAAUAAAAUAGGGAACUUGCAAUUUUUUUAUUACAUAAUAAUGUUCAGUUUUGUUUAAAAAUGAAAUUUCCAAAAUUUCACACUUCAAAAACUCAUAAUAACUUAGAAAUACAAAUUUAACAUCUUCUGCGAUAUUGAAAUAGUUCAAACGACCCGUGACGUCACAUAGUUUUACUAUAUGGUUAUAUUUAUGGUUCUUCUUCGUCGUCUAGCCAUUCACGUCCACAUCUGAACAUAAGCCUCUUCAAGUCUUCCUUUACAUUGUUUUUUGUUGUACGCUACUUGUAGAAAAAUUUUCCCGGCAGUUCGUUUCAGAUCAUCUGUCCAUCUCAUAGGAGGUCUGCCUCUGGGUCUUUUAUGUGGUGGUAUGGUCUCCAGGUUAGAAUUGUUCUGUGCCAUUUGUUUAGAUCGCUCGUAGCUACAUGUCCAGCGUAUUCCCAUUUCAAUUUUAAUGAUUUUUGUACCACAUCAGUGACUUUGGUUUUCUGUCAUUUAUGGUUAUAUUUAGGUAUAUUCUUCUUCUCCUUCUUUAGUUUAUUGGCCUCCACCUACUUGGGUAUUUGUCCAGCUCAUCGUCGCGAAAUAAGGGAAAAAUAUUUAUAUUCUAAUGACAUUUGUGGUAUGUCAUUGUAAUAAUAUAUACCAGUUUGUUGAGAUUGGAGUUUGAUACAGUUUUUGAAGGAAGGGAAAGAAGGUUUACUAUGGAAAAUAAAACUAUUUUGUAAAAGUACAAGUUUUCUAUGAAUAGUUCAAACGGUCGAAACACUUCCGACGUCACAUAACUGUUUUUUCUACUGACUUAUAUAUAACUUUGUUUACUUUGUUGAUGCAGAAUGUAAACAUUAACCAUAUGACGUCACGACGCGUCUUGGGCUAGCUGCUUUAAUUUGAAUUUAGAAUCGUCUUUAUCCUACGCCCUGAAGGGCACUAAGAAUUAUGAGAAAAAAGAAGAAGAAGAAUCGUCUUUAGGGGCCAAACGGAACACAAAAAUAAGUUUUUGAAGUUAUACUCCUUUAGGCGCGAUUGAGAGUAAAAUUUUUCAUAAAUCUGCGCGCAUGCGCACACAGACAGUAUGACGUUUAGUUGAUAAUCUUUCAAAUUAUGUAUCAGCGCAAAUAAGCCAUUAAAAUAAUAUAUUAGUGUUUUUUAGUAAAUGUAUUAUUUAUUAUAAUUUUGUGUCUUUGGAUUUGUCUUCUGUCUUGGCGUAAAAUAAUAAAACAUCUAUUUUUAUAUUUCACUUGUCACCGUGAUGUGUAAUUAUGUAUAUCUGAAACGUCAGUAACAUGCGCCUUGAUGGCCUGGUUGGUAGAGCAUUGGACCAGAGAUCGAGAAAUCGCGAGAUUGCGAGUUCAAAUCCCGGACGAUUCAUACUUUUUUCUUUUUUUUUUAAUAUUUGGCAUUGUUAAGUUUUGGUUAAUUUUUGGUAAUUAUUGUUAAUUUUUUGUAUUGUAACUGUUAAGUAUAUUUAUUUCGUUGAAAUUAUAAUAAUAGAAGUAUAACUUCUUACGUGCGUACAAAGUACACACACAUUCUUUUUAUCUUUGAUACAUGUUUUAAAUUAUGUUCAGUUGUGAUUUAUAACAUUUUUUCGAAUUUAAAAUUUUAUACAAGUUCCCUAUUACAAUUGAUCGGUAAAAUUACUAAUUUACACCACACUGUACGGUCCUUGUUAUUAAGGUGCAAAUGUGCAGGUAGGUGCUAUUUGUCAAAACUGUCAUUUUUCCUAGACAGACUCUAUUGAAAACUAAGAUUAUAUUAUAGAGUAAAUAUGGCAAAUUUAAAUUUAAAUAAAUAAGUACAUAUUAGUUACUACUAAGCUUUGUUUUUAAACCAAGAGCAGUAAACUAAAAAGACAGAUUCACACCCAAGAAAGUCACUAGAAAUAUCACCAAAUACAUCCUUUUUUGGUUGAUCAUAUCGGCCUUUGACGGUUAUCCAUACAUAUUAUAUUAUACUAAUAAGCGACAUAUUAAUAUGUCACUAAAGAGUUCUAAAAACAACUGUUUUUAUAUAAAAACAGACUAAAAAUCUAAAAAUUAAAGGAAUAACACAGAAAAUACAAAAAAUCGCUAAUAUAACUUAAUUAACCUAUGAAAUGGCAAUAGUGUCAAAAUUUUAUAAAUGUCAUUAGUGUUAAAAUUUUAUAAAUGUCCUUAGUGUCAAAAUUUGAUAACAGUGGAGUAAACUUGCCUGAGCUUGGACUAAUUACAAACAAGCUUUAAGGCGCGAGAAAUUUGAAUACUCUUGGUUUAAAAACAAAUUAUAGUACUAACAAAGUAUCUGCAUAUCCUGUUUCCACGGGCACUAGAAAACACGUAUUAUUUUCGUAAGACUCGGUAAAUUAAUCUAACCUGAAAUACAAAAUAUAAACUCAUAUUCAUUAUUCUCUUAUAAUGGUACUCGAGAUUAGUAUUUUUGCAGAAAACAAUUUUUGAAACGUGGCAACGUUGGUUCUAAAAACUAGACAAAACGCAUACAAACGUCGUUGUCUAAGAUUUUUUGGCACUCAUGCAAGAUGAACUUAUCUUCUUUUCGUCCUCUGUUUAUUAUUAAAACUGUGUGGUCUUGAAAGUCAAGUAAACUGAAGUUUGGUCACAAUAUAAUGCUAACGAAUCAGUAGGGUCACUCUCGAUUUUGACGGUUCCAAUUUUGCAAUUGCAUUAGACAAAAUUUUGAAUGCGCGACGAUAAGGACCAAUCACGACAAAUGUGCGACGGUAACGACCAACCACGGCAAACGUAGGAUCCUGUUAACUGUCAUUCGUCUGCGCAAAGAAAUAUGCGCCGUCACACAAAUGCAGAGUUGCCAACCGGAGAAUUGUUGCAAUCUCCUUUUUUGCGGGAAUUUUCAACAUAAAAUGUUAUAAAAGGGAAAAAGUUAACUCAAAAGGGAAUUUUUGCCCCUGUCCAAAUUGUAAAAUAUUUAAAAAAAUCGAAAUAUUUGAAAAUAAUUCAAUAUAUCUACUCAGAUUUUGUAAACAGGAGGGAAUUUUUUCACAAAAGUGGGAAUUUUUAAUGUAAGUUGAGGGAAAAAGUUUGCUCGACGGUUGGCAACACUGCCCAAAUGUAACAUAGAGAUCAACGGAUUUUUCGCGGCGCGGAGGAACCCUAUUGAUUCUUUGGCAUUAUACUGUGGUUUGGUGUUAUUGUAUUGAGCAGCAUAAAUAUAAAUGCAAUACAGCUUAUUCUUUAAAACAGCAGCCAAAUAUAUAUUUAAUUCGUAACGAAAUAAAGUAAUUUGUAAUAUAUUAAUUAAUUUAAAGAUCUAUAUUUGUAUUUUUGGAUUGUAUCGGUUAGUUUUUAGCUUUUAAUCAUACUGCAUUACCUGUGCACAUUUAUGUUAGUAUUAUUUAGUAUUUUACCCUCUAUUAUGCAUAUCAUCACAUUAUUUAUACCACCAAGUCUAUAAAUAAUUUUGAAAAAAUAUAUUUUUCUCAGACUUUUAAUUUUUUCAAUGUAGGUUUGUUAAUGUCCAACGAGGUUUGUAUUUUCCUGGAUAGAUAGUAAUUUGUAAAGUAUUGAAGGAUUUUGGAUCUAAUUUUAUGAACCUUUUUAUUUUUUGGGUGCCGUGUUCGUAUUCAGACGUUGGCACUGGGGGUUGGUACCCCCGAUGAUGGGGUUGAUUAAGUUGAAAACACUAUUUACCAGACAUAUAUUUAUUUGGAACACUAAAUACGCCAGUAACUAGUUGGUGGACAAAGUCUAUGAUCUAACCCCAUCGAUGUCUGAAUAAUGAAUGGAUCCCUUCUUUACUUUCUCCGUAUCUAUAAAUAAAUCGUAAUUGUUUUGUCAUGAUUGACGACACCCGAAUGUGACCGUGAACUACUAAUAAUAUUAGAAUCGCUGACUUUGGAGUUUUAAAAACGAGUGGCCUACAUUGCAACAUCAAUGUCACCUAUUUAUGUAAUGUAAACACUGCAUGUAGACAAGACUUUUAAAAAUUAAAUCGUUAUGGAUUAUUCUUAUUUUUUGAUGCUAAUAUAAAUCCUGUACAAGCGAAGCUCUUCUAAUUAUAUGACCGAAGUAUUCCGUUUUUCUCCUUUUUAUAAUAUUUAUGAGCAGGCGGUCUGAAUUUAUCAUUUUAAGAACAUCUUCAAUGAAAGUGUGUGAAACUCACAAUAUUUUUAGGAUCUGUCGAUAGUACCACAAUUCCACGAGAUUCUGAGCAUGCGACGGUAACACCACAACGCUUUUAAUUUAUUAAGAUUUUUUAUUUUUGUUGUCCAUGUUUCACAUCUAUAGAACAAAUCGGACCAGACGUAGCACUUUAAUACUCUUAGAUCUGUGGUCAAUGACAGACUUCUACUGGACAAUUAACUUCUACCGCCAGUUAAUUUCUCGUGCAAGUACUAUUUUAGUCGAAAUGUUCUCGACACUUUCAAGCCUGAAGUCAAUCCAGCUACCCAGAUAUCUAAAGUGUUCCAUCCUUUCUAGGAUUUUGUUAUCUAAUUUUAGUACUGAGUCUUUAAUAUUCAUUUUUCCGACCACCAUCCAUUUUGUUUUCUUUGCGUUGAUUGUUAAGCCCUUUUGAGUGCAUUUGUUGUUUACAGCGUUCAACAGGGUUUGAAAGUCUUCUAGACCUUUAAACUGGGGUAAGUUUAUUAAUGUUAUUAAUGAUUUCACCACCGAUUUUAAAAUCUUCGCGACGAUUAUUUAUCGCUAUCUCAAAAACUGGUUCAGUGUAGGUAUUAAACAACAUCGGUGACAUAACGCCUUCCUGUCAGACACCACGUUUAAUAGAAAUUUUAGCUGAAACCUCUUGAUCCACCUUGAUACAAGCGGUCUGAUUGUAGUAAAGCUUUUUGAGCAAUCUUUUGUAUGUGGAACUCUAUCAAAGGCUUUCUCGAAAUUUAUAAAACGUACUUAAAUAUUUUUCCUACACUCAAUGCUCUUUUGUAAGAGUAUUCGCAUAAAAUAAUGAGCUUCCCGAGUACUCAUACCGUAUCGGAAACCAAACUGCUCAUCACCAGAUAUCCCCUUACAGCCUUCUUUCGUUUCGCUUGGUCGAUGGCCUUUUAACUUCUAAGAUUAGAAUCGUAAGGCCUCUAUCUCGGUUAGAUGUUAUUUCUUGAUAGAUUCUUUGGUCAUCUUUAAAUAAUUCUAUUCUGCAGUGUUUAUGUUCGGUACAGUGGUCUUUAAUAUCAAUUUAGGAACAGUCGGUUUUGUAUAAUUCGUAAAAUUAUUUUAAGUUUAAGUGUGUGACUUAUCAAACUGAUUGUCUAAAAUCGCUGCAUUUGGUGGCUCUGCUUUUCUUUGGUAAUGUUAUCAACAGUGGCCCCAAUCAAUCAUCUGGUGUUUUACUUCGUUGUAAAUUUUGUUAAAGAAAGUGGUUAAGUAGGUAAUGUUUUCCUCGUCCAAAGGUUUAAGUAGCUCAGCAGGGAUUUAUUGGAAGAUCUGAUCCGGAAGAUACAAACUUUACUGAAUUUUCAUUACUCAACAUUUCUAAUUUCUAAAAAGUAGCACACAUAUUGUUUUAUUACCGAACUACGUUAGAAAUAUGGGUGGUACUUUUCUUAAAUGUUAAACUUAGCAACUUAAGUGUACAUGAUAAAGGAAAAUUGUGAUUUUAUAAUCUGAGAUUACUAAGUGUGCUGAUAGUUUUUAAUUGUCCAUUAAUUCAUUAGGUUUUGCUAUAUAUUCUAAAAGCUUGUUAUUUAAACUGCAAUUAUGAAAUAUAUUAGAUAAUAUAUAUAAAGGAUAAGCAUUUUUUAAAAAUACAUAGUAUGUUUGUACUUUAACUUAAGAAUGUUUUUGUUAGCGACCUGAUAAACUUUAUGUGCUGCUCAUGUUUAAUAUUUUUGCUUUAUAAAUACAUUAAUUUCCAUUUA